UUGGUUGGGGAUGGACUCGCGGCCUAUCAGCUUGUUGGUGAGGUAAUGGCUCACCAAGGCGACGACGGGUAGCCGGCCUGAGAGGGUGACCGGCCACACUGGGACUGAGACACGGCCCAGACUCCUACGGGAGGCAGCAGUGGGGAAUAUUGCACAAUGGGCGAAAGCCUGAUGCAGCAACGCCGCGUGAGGGAUGACGGCCUUCGGGUUGUAAACCUCUUUUAGUAGGGAAGAAGCGAAAGUGACGGUACCUGCAGAAAAAGCACCGGCUAACUACGUGCCAGCAGCCGCGGUAAUACGUAGGGUGCAAGCGUUGUCCGGAAUUAUUGGGCGUAAAGAGCUCGUAGGCGGUUUGUCGCGUCUGCUGUGAAAUCCCGAGGCUCAACCUCGGGCUUGCAGUGGGUACGGGCAGACUAGAGUGCGGUAGGGGAGAUUGGAAUUCCUGGUGUAGCGGUGGAAUGCGCAGAUAUCAGGAGGAACACCGAUGGCGAAGGCAGAUCUCUGGGCCGUAACUGACGCUGAGGAGCGAAAGCAUGGGGAGCGAACAGGAUUAGAUACCCUGGUAGUCCAUGCCGUAAACGUUGGGCGCUAGAUGUAGGGACCUUUCCACGGUUUCUGUGUCGUAGCUAACGCAUUAAGCGCCCCGCCUGGGGAGUACGGCCGCAAGGCUAAAACUCAAAGGAAUUGACGGGGGCCCGCACAAGCGGCGGAGCAUGCGGAUUAAUUCGAUGCAACGCGAAGAACCUUACCAAGGCUUGACAUACACCGGAAACGGCCAGAGAUGGUCGCCCCCUUGUGGUCGGUGUACAGGUGGUGCAUGGUUGUCGUCAGCUCGUGUCGUGAGAUGUUGGGUUAAGUCCCGCAACGAGCGCAACCCUCGUUCUAUGUUGCCAGCGGGUCAUGCCGGGGACUCAUAGGAGACUGCCGGGGUCAACUCGGAGGAAGGUGGGGAUGACGUCAAAUCAUCAUGCCCCUUAUGUCUUGGGCUUCACGCAUGCUACAAUGGCCGGUACAAAGGGCUGCGAUACCGUAAGGUGGAGCGAAUCCCAAAAAGCCGGUCUCAGUUCGGAUUGAGGUCUGCAACUCGACCUCAUGAAGUCGGAGUCGCUAGUAAUCGCAGAUCAGCAACGCUGCGGUGAAUACGUUCCCGGGCCUUGUACACACCGCCCGUCAAGUCAUGAAAGUCGGUAACACCCGAAGCCGGUGGCCUAACCCUUGUGGAAGGAGCCGUCGAAGGUGGGAUCGGUGAUUAGGACUAAGUCGUAACAAGGUAGCCGUACCGGAAGGUGCGGCUGGAUCACCUCCUUU
rnacentral:rRNA from 1 species